GCCCCCCUCACACGUUGGCGCUGGAGGUCUCGCUCAGACGUUCCAGCAACGUCCAAGCGACGUUCGUCGCUCGCGUUACGCGAUUCACAAAUUACACUACUUCAGCUAGUUAGUACACUACUAGCUAGUUACACUACAUUAGUUAGUUAGUACACUGGCUAGUUAUACUAGUUAGUUAUACUACUAGUUAGUUAGUACACUAGUACACUAGUUAGUACAUUAGUUAGUUAGUACACUACAUUAGUACACUAGCUAGUUACACUACAUUAGUACACUAGCUAGUUACACUACAUUAGUACACUAGUUAGUUAGACUGCUAGUUAGUUAGACUAGUUAGUGAGAAUCAUUCUGCUACAGCAACAAGAGUUGUCCGCAUCCGUAGAGUUCGCUGCAUCAUCAUCAUCACCAUGUUGCGGCCCGUCAGGAUGUUUGUGCUGGAGGACCGUCACGUGAUCGCCCGCCAUGCCAGCGUCUACCCGACUCUGGCGGAGUUAGAGGCGGCUCAGUCGCUGGUGUCCACCUGUGAGAGAGCGCUCAAGCGCCUCGCAGACUCGCUGCACAGUGAUGCUGGUGCAGCAGCAGCAGCACCACCACCAGCAGCAGCAGCAGCAGGAGUAGCAGCAGCAGCAGCAGCAGGAGUAGCAGGAGGAGCAGUGGGUGGUGGUGGUGGUGGUGGUGGUGUUGGUGGUGGUGGUGUGGGUGGUGGUGGUGUGGGUGGUGGUGGUGUUGGUGGUGGUGUUGGUGGUGGUGGUGGUGGUGUGGGUGGUGGUGUUGUUGGUGGUGUUGGUGGUGUAGUGGGUGGUGUAGGUGGUGGUGGUGGUGGUGUUGGUGGUGGUGUGGGUGGUGGUGUGGGUGGUGGUGUUGGUGGUGGUGUAGGUGGUGGUGGUGGUGGUGUUGGUGGUGGUGGUGGUGGUGUUGGUGGUGGUGUGGGUGGUGGUGUUGUUGGUGGUGUUGGUGGUGGUGUAGGUGGUGGUGGUGGUGGUGUUGGUGGUGUUGGUGGUGUUGGUGGUGUUGGUGGUGGUGGUGUUGGUGGUGGUGGUGUUGGUGGUGGUGGUGGUGGCUCCCUGCGUAGCGUGGUGCGAGUGGGACUGGUGGCUAAGGGUCUUCUCCUGCGCGGAGACCAGCGCCUUCGCCUCGUGCUGCUGUGCCACCAGCCGCCCACUGUGCAGCUGCUGCACCACGCUGCACACAGCCUGCCUCAACACCUACAGGCGGUGAGUGGUGAGGGUGGUGAGUG